UCCAGUGCAUCAGUUUCAUUGC
rnacentral:siRNA from 1 species